CCCCUUUCAAAUUAGCAAAAAAUAGCUUAUAUUAACUAUGCUGAUUAUAAUUUCAGCUAUGGUAAUAAAUUGGCAAUGCAAUAAGCCUAUUGGACCCGGGGGCGGUACCCGGCGCCUCCACCAAAAAGUUAUUUAUGGGGGCGAAACAGGAUCGACAAGGGUCUAAAGAUUGUACUUUUACUCGGCAUUGUACCGCCGUUAUCGGGCUAAACUUGUAGUUGCAAACGACAACUAUGCAGGAGCUGCUCUCGCUGCUUAGGCAGUGCGAAAGCUCAAUUAUGAGUCUUAGAUCUUUGCAGGUUUAAGCGGGGCCUGGGGGCGCCUGGCAACAGAAGCCCCCGCC
rnacentral:tmRNA from 1 species